rnacentral:rRNA from 1 species
UGGAGGCAGCAGUGAGGAAUAUUGUGCAAUGGGCGAAAGCCUGACACAGCGACGCCGCGUGGGCGAUGAAGGCUCUCGGGUCGUAAAGCCCUUUUGGCAGGGACGAGUGAGGACGGUACCUGUCGAAUAAGUCUCGGCUAACUACGUGCCAGCAGCCGCGGUAAAACGUAGGAGGCGAGCGUUAUCCGGAUUCACUGGGCGUAAAGCGCGCGUAGGCGGUUGGUUAAGUCGGACGUGAAAGCCCCUGGCUCAACUGGGGGAGGCCGUUCGAUACUGGCCGGCUUGAGGGUGAGAGAGGAGAGUGGAAUUCCCGGUGUAGCGGUGGAAUGCGUAGAGAUCGGGAGGAACACCAGUGGCGAAGGCGACUCUCUGGCUCACCCCUGACGCUGAUAGCGCGAAAGCGUGGGGAGCAAACGGGAUUAGAUACCCGAGUA